rnacentral:misc_RNA from 1 species
CGCACCUUGCGCUCUUUGGUAUUCCGAAGAGCAUGCCUGUUCGAGUGUUAUUAAAUUCUCAAACCAAUAGCUUUAUUGUCUAUUGGCUUUGGACUUUGAGGGUUGUUGGUGCAAAUCGACUCCCUUUAAAUAUAUUAGCUGGCAUUGACUGCCAGACUAUGGUGUGAUAAUUAUCUACGCUAUUGGUCUGACAUGUUGGCUGCUUCUAAUCGUCUUCGGACAACACUCUUGAAAUUUAACCUCGAAUCAGGUAGGACUACCCGCUGAACUUAA